UUGUAUUCGAUGAUUAGAGAUGUUAAAAAAAAGAAUAUAAACCUUCUAUUUUGAGAAGACAAUGUGGUGUAAAAAGAAAUGAUGAAAAGUAUGUAUAUGUAAAAGAAUCAUGAAUGUAAAGGUUGAAUGCAAUGUAUGUGAUAAAAAAUGUAUCAUAGUACUUGUGUAGAUGUUUAGCUUCCAUUCUUUCACUCUUGGCUAUUGCUUAC
rnacentral:lncRNA from 1 species